AAUGGACCUGACAUAUAAGGUUUGCAAGAUAUGCAACAUGAAAAUAAGAUACUGUGUAAAUACGACAAACAUAAAAGAAAGACAAAAUCAGCCAAACAGUUGAAAAAAUUGUAUAAAUCGCAAUGUAUUGUUUGGUGAUACUUACUGUAUUGCAAAAUGUUUAAAAUUGCAAUAAUAUCGUAUUGUGGGGCAACUCCUUUGACUAACCAUAAAACAGAUUGAAUAUAAGUUAAUUUAAGAUUAUAUUUUCAUUCUCUGUGUGUCUCUGCAACAUAAGCUAAACUAAAUUUGAAAUAAUAAUGUAGUUGGUUUUCUCCGUGCAGGACAUCCAGAGUAUUCAGCCGUCUUAUUUACUUUGUGUUUGUUGUUAGAGGUUCUGCAGUGUUGAAAUAGUGUAUAAAGCUCCUGUAAGGAACUUUGUGUCUGUGUUGAUUUUUUUAAUCAUUAUUGUCACAAUUUUUUCUUGUAGCCUACAUCUGUGAGUUUGUUUUCAUACCCAAAAUGUUAUCCUGCCUUUUUAAAAGUCAAUCUUUGUAGAGAUUAAAAAAAAAAACUUUUCUUUGCUGAGAUAUAAAAUCUGAUCGUCUGAAAUCAGCCUUCGCAGCAGUUUUAGCCACGUGGAAAUGACAGUCGAGAGUCUUUCUGCUGCUGGUCUUUGUUUCCUUUUGUCGGCUCAACUGUUUAAUUUCAUUUAAUUCAAUUUGCAGAUAUUAAAGCUACUGUAAGGAGUAUUUUAGACUUAUAUAAAACAGACCGUAAUUCAGUUAUAACACUUCCCACAGAAGAAGGAAAAGGGGUUUAGGUAUCACUGCCUAUAAAGAAGAAUAAAGAAGUGUAAGAAAUUAAUUUGAAUUUAUCAGGGUGUAUUUUUCAUAUAACUGUCGAUGGUCGGGAUCCUGUUUUUGCCUUUGUUGUAUUUCUGUUGACAGUCAAAUCUCUGUAUACUACUUUUAGAGGUUGUAGCUGGCAAUCAUGACAUUACCCUCCUUUAUUUAAAAUUAUAGUGGACCUCAACUUGCCUGUUUUGGUCAUUUUAGGAGUCGCCUUCUGAAAUCAUGAUGAGGUAAAGUUCGCAGACGAGAACAGUUUGGUGUUAAAGCCGAAUUGUAACGCUGUGGUAACAUCGUAAUGCUCAGGGCGCCUGUCAAUGUGUUGAAUGUGAUUUCUUACUGUUUCUGUUCGGGUCUCUCUUCUAUUAUGUGACUGCAGUGAAAGUGUAUAAAGAGAAAUUGUUCAGGUUAAUUCUUCACUGCAUCCUUGAUAAAAGCGUGAUUCCACAGCCAGAGAGUCGGUGCCUCUUUUGCAUUAUGUAACAGACUUUCUGAUCAAUGAAAGACAGCUCCUCUGAACGUCACUUGGACAAAAACAACAUCUACUGACAUUAGAUGAAAAAAUAAAAUGACAGAGUUGAGAACGAACAGAAACUAAGACACGGAUGAUAAGAUGUUUGAAGCUCUCAGUCUGUUAUUUUCUUAUGAACGCAAACGUACAAAGGUGAUCAGCCUCAUCUCAACAUCUACUCUCUUUUUUUAGAGGUUGCCCUGGUAGGCUUUAGGAACGCACACCCUACAAACACACACACACCCUACACACACACACACACACACACACACACACACUCCUCGAGGCUUAUGCCGGGCGGGUUAUAAAUUACAAGUCUUAACCAAGUGAUGGGUCACUCUCAGAGACACCUAGAGACAACUCAGCUGCACACACACACACUCACACACACUCUCUCUCUUUCACUCUCUCUCACACAGACACACACACACACACUCACACAGACACAGCUCUGUGAGAAGCUAUACAGACCUUCAAGGUAAGAUUCCAGCUUGCAAACUAUUUAACAAACUUUAAUAAUUUGAGAGAGAUUCAUUUGCUUUUAUACGCUCAAGGCUGAAUAUCUCAGAGGCUUUUCAUGGCUUUGUCUUCUGUCCACGCUUGUGCGCAUUUGUGUGUGUGUUUGUGAAUUCAGUUGUGUGAAGAGGUUUGUACUCUUAAAGGCUGACGAAUAAAUCAGACAUUUGAAGUAGCUGUUCGGAAGAUCUCUGUCCUGCACAUGCUCUCGCAAAGUGCAUGUGCGCCGUGCCAGCUGUGCUUUGUAUGCGCACUCACUCAUCCAUGAAUGCUGUCAUAAGCUCAUAAUAAGGCGGGAGUCAAGCCUGCGCUUUCAGCCGUGGCAGGCUAUUUAUCAACUGUUGUAAAUCAGUUUUGACGAAGAAAGAGCGGAAGCAUCCUUGAACGCUGCCUCGCUUUUCUCAUGCCACUUUUGAACACUUUCUAAUCCUUAAGAAAAGAAGAAAAAAAAAGCAAACAGCGGCUGAAUUUUUUGGAACUUUCUUCAUGUGUUUGCACGCUUGUGUCAAACGCUCAGGCGUUCAUUCAGCACGCGAUGUCAAUAUGCAAGCUCCUACAGGACUAAGGUGUGUUUCAUUAAGUAUAGAGCUGAGCAGAGGGCUUUUGUUUGGAAGUAUGCGCCUUUUUUAUUCUCAUGUUUGUCAGAGCAGCAUAACUACAGGUUUCUUUUGUCUCAUUGUUCCCUUUAUGCUCGUCAUAUAACGGCCCUGCAUUGUUCAGCAGUCAAGACAUGAAUGAGCAGGUUCAUAUGUGACUGUGAAAUGCUGUGAAAUCUGCCUCCCAACCCUGACUUCUCUGAGGCAGAAAUGAUUCACCACCGCUUAGAGGACAAAUGUGGCUUUUUUUCAAUGUUUGUUUUCAGGUGUUUUUUUUUUUCAAAUACUUCAGAUCCUGACAGUCUGUUAAUUCUAAACUGUGUAGCUUUAAAUUCAGUGAACCAAAAUAAAACAUUUCAUUAAAGCUCCUCUGAGGAGUUUUUGGCACUCAUGAAAUGAACAGAAAUUCAUUUUGAUGCCCUUUUAUGACUUACUGAAACGAACAUGCUAUAUGCUCAUUUUAAUGCCCGACACGGAGCCAAGGAGGUAGGUGUCGGUGAAUCAAAGAAAACACUUGUUUUAACAUUUUUAAUUGAACUUUUUACAAAGAAGACAUUUGAAGGUGAAAAUUCGGCAGAACAAGAUGUUUUAGUCAGUUUCAAGGAUGGGUGAUAUGGGCUAAAAAAACGUAUCAAGAUAAGUUUUGCCAUCCUGGCGAUAACAAUAAAAGCCCAAAUAAAAAAUAUUAUAAUUCCAAUCCAUAUUUUUACUCGUUUUGUCUUGAGAACACCAGUCGGAGUAGUCAAAUAAGAAACUUAACCACAUGUUUAAGUGGUAGGUUUUGGAGAAAACAAGCGAAAUCAAACAAGUCUUCAAUGUGAAAACACUUUCAAUAUUUAUUCAAUACUUUUAUUGCACAAUAAGCAUUAACUGCAGCAGCUGAUCCACUCUCCAAUAUCAACCAUCCUGGAUUGCGCUUAUCUAAGCCCCGAUCUUGAAGGAAAGUUUA
rnacentral:lncRNA from 1 species